CAUGAAAUUUGAAAGAGUUUUGCAAGAGAUGGAGAAAUAAGUCAAACAGGAAAAUGAGAGCAAUUCAGAAUACCUGCAGAAGAUAGCGAAGAGUUGAUUCCAUAUGGUUGAAUGCAAGAGGAAAAAUAAAUAGUCCAAACAACGCAAAACUCAGUGGUAGGGAGAAAUUUUACACUAAACACUGAUUGGCAAAGUAACAAGUUUAGUUAUUUUGUGAUUAGAUUUCUAUAAUGAUUUUCAUAUCAGUACUCAUGCAGCUCCAAAACAGUAGAGAACUUAUCCUCAUAAUACAUUGUGUUAUAACACCAUUGCAUUAUUUUACAGAUUUUAUAGUUGAGAAGCUGGCAUACAUGUAGAUGUAUUCUUCAGAGAGCAGAGCAUUCUCAAGAGAAGCAAUUUUCUGGCUUAAACCAGACAAGCUGUUCCAAGAGGCAUUCAUCAAGUGAAGCCAUGGUACUUCUUCCAGACUAAAGCACAUAAAGGUCCUCUCCAGCACAUCAGAAGAAGAAUUCAUGUUACUUUAGUCCUGAUAUGAAUUUUAACCAUAAAACUGUUCAGCCUCUCUAAAAAAAUGGAGUGGACAGUGAAUUAUAGGAAGAAAGAUCUUUUUAUAUGUGUCCAGUAGUAAGAUAUGAGGAUAUUUAACCUUGGAGUAAGAAGACUUCUGGGGACCAGAGAAAUUCUGUUUUCAAUUCUGGACAUCACAAUACCAAAAAUAGGCAGACUGUUUUUCAGUAACUGAAGGAAAAAGUCAGGAAUUAGCAGAAGAGAUGAAAAAUAAUUGUGCUAAGAAGAUUUUGUGAUACUUAGCACCUAAAUUAAAGUUUCAGUGAAAGGAUUGCCAUGGACUUCGAGGUAGCCAAGAUUUCACUGCAUAGUUAGCAGGAAAGGCAUUUACUCAAGGGGGAGGCACCGGCUUUCUGGCUAGAGCACCUUUUGGGUACAUGGGUGACCUGACCUGGUAUGCCCAGUUUGGAGCAGAAACUUGAACCGAAAUCUGCUUUGUUCAGGAAGUGGCGUGACUGAGUCAUCUCUCUACAGGCUUCAAGAUAAUAUGUGUUCCAAGAUUCCUGAGAUGAAUUUUUCACCUGAUUUUGUGCGUAACUGGGCUAUUGCCAGAUGAUGGGUAUGUGUCACAGUGUACGUUCUGCUUGUUUAUAUGAAUAAAGGGAAAAAGAAUUGAAGUUUAUCCCAUUGUACAUAGAGUGAAGGAAGACACAGAGAAAGUAAAGACUGUUUUGCCACAGAUACUUAUCUUUUGCAGCGCUGAUCUUCUAGAUCGCCUGUUGCCUGGUAAAGAGGGUGUGGCACAGUGUAAAAUUCCCAAGGAAAGACAGGCUGGCUAUGCCUAUUCUAGUAAACAAGUGUGCCAGGGCCUGGGUUGUGGCUUUGAUGGCAAAUUGCAUGGCAGUUUGCAUCUGGCUUUUUCCCCUUCCCACAGUGGUCUCAUCUAUUUCCCAGCCUGGACAUUGUCUGGGAGAUCAGUAGUUAGCGUAAGACAAAGCUGUACUAGAGGAGCCAACAAUUUAGCAAUAUGGGCAAUCAUGGCAACCUUGGUCUGUCUUUAAAUUAUAUUUUAUUAUUAUAGGUGUAGCCUCAAAGCCAACUGAAUUAACUUAGAGCAGAUGGAGUGCUGUUUAAAAGCACUUAAGACAACCGGGCAGAAACCAAUAGAUUCAUUCACAUUUUAGCUUGGCCAAAGUUCUGGUUAAGUUCUCCUGAUUAAGUCUUGGUUUUCCUUCUGUAAAAAGUAAAGGUCUCUUAGAAUAGCUAUUAACCCUUCACUUGGAGAACUUCCUAGAAGUGUAGUAAGCCUGGGUCCAGCUUCUUCCUGGACUGACUGAUUCGAAAGAAGGAUUUGAACCCACAUCUGCUUCCACUUUGGAGGAAGGAGAUGAAGCAUUCUUUGUCUGAAGGUCAUGUUUUAGAGCUAUUCUACUUUGUAUUAAACAGUUACCCACUGAGCCACAGAAGGUGAGAGAAUAAGAAAACAGUCAGAUAUGUUCAUCAUGUAUUUGGAAACAGAGUGAUGAGCCUACUUAAUUGGAUCUGCAGCUGAGACACGAUGACUGAUCCUGUGUAUGUUUGUUGUCAUUUGCAAUACAUAGCAAAUCAAUUAUAAAGCUGAUUUAUGCUCCUCCUUCUGCUGAAGUAUGUUCCUAAAAGAUGUGAAUUUGACAGCUUACAUUUAGGUGAUUGUGUAACUGAUUGUCAACAUGAAUGUUUUUCUCUUCUUCAGUAGAAAUGGAUGCAGUAAAUGGAACCAUUACUGAAGCUGUGUCCUCAUUUAUAAUGAUGACUUGUGAUUUAGACUUUAUUUUGCUGGGUCACUGUGCACGUUGGUCUAAAAUCUCAUCCAGAGAAAUAUAUAAGUAUGUUAUUAUAUAUAAAUAAUCACAGAAUAGAUUUUCUGACCUCACUUCAGGCCUCUGCA